rfam:Capsicum annuum cultivar Zunla-1 chromosome 2, whole genome shotgun sequence
CAACCCCAGGUCAGGUGGGAUUACCCACUGACUUUAAGCAUAUCAAUAAAUGAAGAAAAAGAAACUUACAUAGAUUCCCUUAGUAAUAUCAAUAAAUGAAGAAAAAGAAACUUACAUAGAUUCCCUUAGUAAUAUCAAUAAAUGAAGAAAAAGAAACUUACAUAGAUUCCCUUAGUAAUGACAAGUGAACCGGGAACAACCCAGCCUUAGAAUCGGGUAGCUCUGUCUUCUGAAUUUUAGUCUGGAGAAGCGUCUUCAGAAAACCGAGCCCAAGUCCCCUGAAAGGGGGUGCCAGAGAGGGUAAGAGCCCUAAUGUACCCAGACCCUGUCAUACCAUGAGGCACUAUCUAUGAGUCGAGUUGUUUGGGAAUACAGCCCAAAUCGGGUAUUGAAUUCUGUCCAAGGCUAAAUACGGGCGAGAGACCGAUAGCUAACAAGUACCGUGAGGAAAAAAUGAAAAGGACUAUAAAAGAGAUUCAAAGAGUGCUUGAAAUUAUCGGGAGCAAAGAGGAUGAGGCCUGGCGAUGUGCCUUGAUCAGAUAUGGAAUGGCGAUGAGUCGAUCCAUUGAUCGUCUCGGUGCGUGGACUAGCGUGGUUUGGGGGCGGCCAAAACUCAGGUUCUCAAUAUGCUUGUUGAACAUUUUCUCCUUGAUUUUGGUAGGCAGUGCACGUCUCUGACAUUCUUCAGCAUAUGUGUGCUUUGGACGCUGGCCUGUGGACUCCCCAUUCGACUCGUCUUGAAAUACGGAACAAGGAGUUUGACAUAUGUGCGAUUCAACGGUCGAGGAAACCCAUAAGGAGUAAGGAAGAUGAUUGGUGGGUGAUGUGCGAGAAAAAGUUAACACAUUUAAUGCUUUUUGGCUCAAAACAAUUGUGAAAUCUUCAGUAACUUUUGUUAUUUUGAUGUGUUUUCUAGUGAAUUUGCAGAAAAAGGUAAAAAGAUGGAAAAUAAACAACAUCGGAGAAAAAGAGUUGAAAACUGAGAAAAAAGGAGAAAGAGGCAUGGCUGACGACAUCAUUGAUAUGUCGUCAGCCCUGUGAUAGGAUACCAGAAGCGGCGUCAUCCAUAACUAGAGAGUUGAAGUUUGAGAGAAAGUUUUGACGACAUUGGUGAUAUGGUAUCAAAGAGAUAAUAAGGCGUCACGAUGGGCGUCAGCCUAAACUAGAGAAUUGAUCUUGAAGAAAAAAUCUAACGAUGUUGGUGAUACGCUGUCAGAUCGGUGAUGCAGAGUCAACUACAUCAUUAGCCUAAGACAAUUUUGAAGGCAAUUGGAGCAAUUCUGACGCCAUUCGUGAUAAGGCAUCAGAACCUUGACGUGGCGUCAGUGAUGGCGUCACCUAAUCCAAAGAAUUUUAUGAGUUUUGUUAUUUUAUUUCCAUAAUUAGGGUUAAGUAUAAAUAGCAUCUUUAAGGGUUUUAUUGACAAUCUUCUUUAAUCCUUUAAUAUCUUAAUAUUUUUUUUGGGAACCUUGGAUACAUUGUUUUCUUUGAACACUUAUCAACUAUUUGUGUAUUUUUGUUUUUGUGAUUCAAUUGAAGGAGCGACUAGUUGUUUUUCAUACGUUCCUAAGUUUGCCCAUAUUAUGAUGAAUUCAACUUUUUCUUUCAUUCAUCAAAUCAUGAGCGGCUAAUUCCAUUAGCCGGAGUUAUGGAAUCCAUGGAGUAGGUUUUGACAUGUUGCUAGGUGUAACAGUUUCAAGAGUAGUAGAACAUCUUGAAAUUCUAUUGUUUUAACUAAAAUCUAGUGGUUGAAAACAUUAGAUUAUGCCUUAGGUUUUAUUUUCUUCUAACGAACAAAUAAACUAGAGGUCGUGAAUUAUCAACAGGGACUCAGAAGCUACCAACCUUUUGUUUAAUGAUUAAUGCCGUAACUGGAUUAAUCUACCUGAGAUAACAUCCUAUUGGAAAUAGAUAAGUUAUCUAAGUUCGAGAGAAUUAGAUAAUAAAUUGUCUGGUGAGGUCGAGAGAUAAGUCAAAUAGUAGAGUCGUUAGGGAUAUUCUGUAGUUCCUACUUACUCCAAGAAUCUCAAGCAUUACCUAGUAUCAGCCAAUUCCCGAAACCCAUGGUGAACAUAGCUCUGGUUUUCCAUUUAGAUUGAUUAUAAACACUAAAAUACUGAAAGUGAAAAUUCACUCAUUGUUAAACUUAACCCCCCAUUUUCGGAAACAUUAAACUACCAGUAAAGUAUUUCGUAAACAAAUUGAAUUUUACACCCUAUUCUCUAUAUGAUUCGACCCCAACCUAGUUGGGUUUUAUAUUGACAACAAUCGCUUACACCCAUUCAAGAGUGUAGUUUGAGCGUUAUCAAUGGGAUCUUCCUAAGGGGUGCACCGCCAACCGACCUUGAUAAUUUGAGAAGGCUUUGAGUGUAAGCGUACCUGUCGGGACUUCAAAGAUGGUGAACUAUGCCUACGCAAGGCAAAGCUAGAGGAAACUCUUGUGGAGGCCUGAAGCGAUAUGAACAUGCAAAUCAUUCAUCUGACUUGGGUAUAGGGGCGAAAGACUAAUCAAAUCAUCUAUUAUUUGGUUCCCUCUGAAGUUUCCCUCAGGAUGGAUGGAGCUCACGUGCGAGUUCUAUUGGGUAAAGCCAAUAAUUAGAGACCUCAGGGGUGCAACGACCUCAACCUAUUCUCAAACUUUAAAUAGGUAAGACGACGUGACUGCUUUGUUGAGUCGCACUACAAAAUCAAGAGCUUCAAGUGGGUCAUUUUUGUUAAGGAAAACUGGUGAUGCAGGAUGAACCGAAAGCUGAGCUACGGUGCCAAAAUGUACACUAACCUAGAUCCCACAAAUGGUGUUGGUCGAUUAAGAUAGUAGGAAGGUGUUCAUGGAAGUUGAAAUCCGCUAAGGAGUGUGGAACAACUCACCUGCCGAAUGAACUAGCUCGAAAUAGAUAACGUUCAAGCACGCAACCUACACCCCUCCGUCGGGGCAAGUUCCAGGCCUCGAUGAGUAGGAGGGCGCGGCGGUCACUGCAAAAACCAUGGGCGUGAGAUCGAGCUGAGCGGCCAUCGGUGCAGAUCUUAGUGGUAGUAGCAAAUAUUAAAAUUAGAACUUUGUAGGCCAAAGAGGGGAAAGGUUCCAUGUGAAUGGCACUUGCACAUGGGUUAGUCGAUCCUUAGGGUCAGGGGAACCCUAACAGAUAGUGCAUUUUGCGCAUACUCCAAAAGAAAAUUGUGUUUAAAUUUCUCAAAACUAGAGGUAGUGGUCGACAAAAAAUUAGAAUGUUCAGAGACGUCGGUGCGAGCCUCGGGAAAAGUUAUCCUUUCUAUUUAACAACCUGCCAAUCCUAGAAUCGGCUUAGUUGGAGUUAGGUUCAAGCUGCUGGAAGAGCACCGCACAUCGUGUGGUGUUCAGUGUGCUAUCAGCGGCCCUUGAAAAUAUGCAAGACCAAAUUCAGUCCACGCCCGAUCAUACUCAUAACUGUAUCAGGUCCCCAAGGUGAACAGCCUUUGGCUGAUGAAAUAAUGUAGGCAAAGGAAGUCAGCAAAAUGGAUCUGUAUCUUCGGGAAAAGGAUUAGAUCUGAGGGCUGGGCACAGGGGUCCCAAUCUUAAACCAUCAGAUAUCGGUGGAUUCCUUGAGCUGAUCCCAUGAUGAGAGCGGGUUUUCGUGGUUUUGCCAGGGGAUAGACUAGGAACGGUUCCUUCGGGGGCCUUCCCUGCUCAUCGAACAACCAAAUCAGAAUUGUUACAAACCAGGGAAAUCUGAUUGUUUAAUUAAAACAAGUAUUGUGAUGGUCCCAACAAAUGUUCUUCCAAUGUGAUUUCUGCCUAGUGCUCUGAAUUUCAAAGUAAAGAAAUUCAACCAAGAUCCAGUAAAUGGCGGGAGUAACUAUGACUCUAUUACGGUAGCCAAAUGCCUCAUGAUCUAAUUAGUGAUGCACAUGAAUAAAUUAACGAGAUUCCUAUUAUCCUUGUCUACUAUCCAACAAAACAACAACUAAGGGAACGAGCCUAGCAGAAUUAGCAGGGAAAGAAGACCCUAUUAAGCUUGACUCUAGUCCGACUUUAUAAAAUGACUUGAGAGGUAUAGUAUAAGUGGGAGACUAAAGGAGAAAGUGAAAUAGCACUACUUUUAAUGUUAUUUUACUUAUUUUGUGAAUCAAAAACGGGGCACUCCUCUUCUUUUUUGACCCAAGGCUCACUGUGUGGGCUUAUCCUGGCAGAAGACAUUAUUAGUUGGGGCGGCAUAUCUAUUAAAAGAUAAUGUAGGUGUCCUAUGAUAAGCUCAACAAGAAUAGAAAUAUCAUGUGGAACAGAAGGGUACAAGAUCGUUUGAUUAUGCUUUCCAAUACUAAUACGAACCAUGAAAGCGUGGCCUAAUGAUCCUUUAGAACUUCGAAAUUCGAAGCUAGAGGUGUCAGAAAAGUUACCACAGGGAUAACUGGCUUGUGGUAGCAAAGUGGUCAUAACGAAAUUGUUUUUUGAACUUUCGAUGUUGUGUCUUCCUAUCAUUGUGAAGUGAAAUUCACCAAGUAUUGGAUUGUUCAGCCAUUAAUAGGGAACGUGAGCUGGGUUUAAACCGCAGAGAGAGAGGUUAGUUUUACCCUAUUGAUGACAGUAUCUCAAUAGUAAUUCAACCUACUAUGAGAGGAACAGUUGACUCACAUAAUUGGCUAUCGCGCUUUAUUAAAAAGCCAGUGGCGCAAAACUACAGUUUUCUAGAUUAUGACUGAAUGCCUCUAAGUCAAAAUUUAGGAUAGAAUUGUUGCAUACGCCCGUAGUCCACUUAAUUAUUGCAUACGGCCACAGUCCACUUACCGACCCACAGUAGGUGCCUCGGCCUCUAAGGGCACGUAUCGUUGGCUAAGCCAUCACGGCAGGAGGGUCGUAGUGGCAGCCUUGAAGUACAAUUUCUAUGGAGCAUGGGUAGAAUCCUUUACAGAUGACUUAAAUACAUGAUGGGGUAUUAUAAGUGGCAGAUUGGCCUUGCUGCCACGAUCCACUGAGAUUCAACCCUUUAUCACUCCGGUUAGU